GUCCGCCGGUGUUAGUGUGAGUGGCGGCAAGGAUUCCGACAAAGCAGGUGACGCGCAGGAGGAGAACGCAAUUAAGGUGCAACACGAUACCCACAGACACUACGAGGAUGGAGACAGCCUGAAGUUACUCGUCAGCCUUGAGACCCUGAAGCAAAUAUUUUUCAAAUCCAAGAAUAUGAAGAUAUCAUUUGAGACGGCGAAGGCGAAGGCGCACCGGGACCUGUAGACACCCCAGAUUGAAGUACACGCCACAGCAAAACUUGACGAUUCCUUGGAUCAGCCAGUGAAGAGCGUGAAAAUGCCCAAGGAAAAGGUGGAACAUCAGCGAAUAACGGACGAGCGGCAAGAAGUGAAGCAGACCAACAUGUGCAGCGCCACACAGCCAUCGACUUCGCACUCUUCAGGGUUUCGUCCCCCUUCCUGGUGAUGAUGGCGACCUCCUUAUAUGGAUCAGUUUCCCUUGUUCAUUUCCCUAUUUGGCUGCACCAGAGGCGAUACAUCACAGAGAUUGGCAAGAAACAGGAUCUUUCACCUUACUGUGUGUGUGUGUGUGUGUGUGUGUGUGUGUGUGUGUGUGUGUGUGUGUGUGUGUGUGUGUGUGUGUGUGUGUGUUUUCCCUCAGCACCCGAGGCUCCUUCAUCUCCGACACGCCUUAA